UAAGGGAUAUUGCGACAAUGGGCGAAAGCCUGACGCAGCAACGCCGCGUGCGGGAUGACGGCCUUCGGGUUGUAAACCGCUUUUCUGUGGGAAGAGGAAGGACGGUACCACAGGAAUAAGUCUCGGCUAACUACGUGCCAGCAGCCGCGGUAAAACGUAGGAGGCGAACGUUAUCCGGAUUUACUGGGUGUAAAGCGCGUGCAGGCGGUUUUGUAAGUCGUGCGUGAAAGCGCCCAGGCUCAACCGGGCGAGGACGUGCGAAACUGCAGGGCUAGAGGCAGGUAGAGGCGUGCGGAAUUCCGGGUGUAGUGGUGAAAUGCGUAGAUAUCCGGAGGAACACCAGUGGCGAAGGCGGCGCGCUGGACCUGACCUGACGCUAAGACGCGAAAGCAUGGGGAGCGAACG
rnacentral:rRNA from 1 species